GCCCCUGUGGAUCAACGGUAGAUCGUCCUCUCCAAUUAUAGGGUUAGCAGAGUUUGGAGGAAGGCGUGGGUUCGAAUCCCGCUGGGGGCA